UCUCGAAAGGGAUGCUAAUACCGCAUACGUCCUACGGGAGAAAGCAGGGGAUCUUCGGACCUUGCGCUAAUAGAUGAGCCUAAGUCGGAUUAGCUAGUUGGUGGGGUAAAGGCCUACCAAGGCGACGAUCUGUAGCGGGUCUGAGAGGAUGAUCCGCCACACUGGGACUGAGACACGGCCCAGACUCCUACGGGAGGCAGCAGUGGGGAAUAUUGGACAAUGGGCGCAAGCCUGAUCCAGCCAUGCCGCGUGUGUGAAGAAGGCCUUAUGGUUGUAAAGCACUUUAAGCGAGGAGGAGGCUACUUUAGAUAAUACCUAGAGAUAGUGGACGUUACUCGCAGAAUAAGCACCGGCUAACUCUGUGCCAGCAGCCGCGGUAAUACAGAGGGUGCAAGCGUUAAUCGGAUUUACUGGGCGUAAAGCGCGCGUAGGCGGCUAAUUAAGUCAAAUGUGAAAUCCCCGAGCUUAACUUGGGAAUUGCAUUCGAUACUGGUUAGCUAGAGUGUGGGAGAGGAUGGUAGAAUUCCAGGUGUAGCGGUGAAAUGCGUAGAGAUCUGGAGGAAUACCGAUGGCGAAGGCAGCCAUCUGGCCUAACACUGACGCUGAGGUGCGAAAGCAUGGGGAGCAAACAGGAUUAGAUACCCUGGUAGUCCAUGCCGUAAACGAUGUCUACUAGCCGUUGGGGCCUUUGAGGCUUUAGUGGCGCAGCUAACGCGAUAAGUAGACCGCCUGGGGAGUACGGUCGCAAGACUAAAACUCAAAUGAAUUGACGGGGGCCCGCACAAGCGGUGGAGCAUGUGGUUUAAUUCGAUGCAA
rnacentral:rRNA from 1 species